GGCCCUGCUUUUGUGGGGUGCUCGAGUGGCGAACGGGUGAGUAACACGUGAGUAACCUGCCCUUGACUUUGGGAUAACUUCGGGAAACUGGGGCUAAUACCGGAUAGGAGCUCCUGCUGCAUGGUGGGGGUUGGAAAGUUUCGGCGGUUGGGGAUGGACUCGCGGCUUAUCAGCUUGUUGGUGGGGCAGUGGCUUACCAAGGCUUUGACGGGUAGCCGGCCUGAGAGGGUGACCGGCCACAUUGGGACUGAGAUACGGCCCAGACUCCUACGGGAGGCAGCAGUGGGGAAUAUUGCACAAUGGGCGGAAGCCUGAUGCAGCAACGCCGCGUGCGGGAUGACGGCCUUCGGGUUGUAAACCGCUUUCGCCUGUGACGAAGCGUGAGUGACGGUAAUGGGUAAAGAAGCACCGGCUAACUACGUGCCAGCAGCCGCGGUGAUACGUAGGGUGCGAGCGUUGUCCGGAUUUAUUGGGCGUAAAGGGCUCGUAGGUGGUUGAUCGCGUCGGAAGUGUAAUCUUGGGGCUUAACCCUGAGCGUGCUUUCGAUACGGGUUGACUUGAGGAAGGUAGGGGAGAAUGGAAUUCCUGGUGGAGCGGUGGAAUGCGCAGAUAUCAGGAGGAACACCAGUGGCGAAG
rnacentral:rRNA from 1 species